CAUCAAUGUGUGGAUCUGAGUUUGCCGUAAAGUUUGGGCUGUUGCGUCAACACAGGCCAGUAAGUUGUUCUCUAGCGUGCAAUACAGCUUCGCUCCAUAUUUAGCAGCUACUUUUUGAUUCGCCGGCAGCGGAUCAAGGAAACCAGUGAUUUCAUGCUCUCCCCAUCAUGGAUCCGCUUUUCUGUGCUCCUAUUGUACCCAGCAAUGGCCGAAAUGGCGUAAGCGUGUUGUCAGUUUGGUACGGUCAACGAAGGAUCGUCGUUACAUCCGAUUGCUUGAAGAAACGUCAGAUGACGCAGGUCGACUGUUUGCAACAGUGCUUGAGGGCACAUUUGUUCCUCGUCGAUCCUAAUGCAACACCACUGCGUUUCUAUGUGUAUGUGAAUCGUUACUCAGAGUAAGUCCUAGUCUAAGAGUCUGCACGCCACGAGCAAAAAUGCAGAUGCUGUUGAGACGCGCUCGAUAUCGCCUGGAACCGUGCACCACUGAGUCAGGGAAGUCGUAGAGACAAAAAUCUGAGUGUUAAGGCUCUUUCUGCCAGAGACUACAUUCGUCAUCAGCUUUUCUUCUUCUGUAUGGUGGGAUUGUCGUCACAAAGGAAAACCUUCGGACAGUGAGUUCGCCGAAACACCAAGUGUCUCCAAGAUAACAGUGGCAAGGUUGUUCAGAGAUUCGAUCCAUUGCCCCAGGUGUCAUAAGGGCAACGCUGUGACUGUUCCAAGCAUCAUUCUGCAGUCAGGCACAAAAAGCUUGGGAUUCCGCUUGGCCGCAAACGCCACAGCUGUGUGUGCUGGGACAAUUGUUUGGCAUCUGUACAUGGCAUCUUCACUGCCACGGAAUGUUCGAGAAAGAUUUUUCUCGUCAAGAUAUUAUUCAGCGGAAGGUGAAUUUUCUGCGGUUGUAUGGAAGCACCGAGCCCCUUGCUGCAAUUCAGUUUCGCCAGCCCGUCUUGCAGGGGCGUCAUCUUUUGCUGUCUAUUCCUACAGACACGAGUGAGUCCCAAAUGUAGUGGCAUCUGGAUAUACUGGUUGAUGUAGCCGCCUCUCUCCAACCCCCCUGGUUCAACACCUGCCAUCGCUCUCCUGGUGUAGCUUGUUUGAGGCGAACAAGUUCUCAUCCAGAAGGACAGGACAGCUGGUGCGACUAUAGGGGAUGAAAGCUCAGGUGCUUCUGACCACUCCAGGAGUUGUUGACUGAUAAGAGGCCACGAAAGUACUCGUCUAAGUUCCUUGAAAUGUACUGGUGGCCACAAAUGUACACUUUUUCCGGCUCUUCUUGGUUGUUUGAGUGGCACUGUCCUUCUUUCACUUUCUCUACUUUUAUCAAAGAGUAAGUAUCCUGGGCGUGCAGCUACUUCAGGACUACCAGGGGGCAGUGACUUUGACGUUCUCCCUUCGCUGGGUGGGAGACAGAUGCAAUUAAGUUCGCGUAUCGUCAUAGCAUUCGCAGCGUGAUUUGCGCUGUCGUUGGAAAAGACACUUAUUCCUUUGUUGUGAGGUUAUCUUCCGGCACAGCAUCAAGUGAGUCUUGAGUAUCAGAUUAUUGGAUGGGUGGUUUGCCGUGCCAAGGGGAGGGCGACCGCAGCAGCUGUUGGAGACGCUCUUCCCUGAAAAAUUUUCAGUUCCUCCUUUCUUUCUGUUUUGAACAAAGAGUAAGUCAUCUUAUGUGCAGCCUCACAUCCUUUCAAAGUGCAACACCGUUGUGGUUCAGCGGUUUAGAUCCGAGCCGAUAGCUGGAAGCUCAUAAAACGCUUUUGGCCACUACAAGGAUUUGACUGGGUGUUUAUCAGGGUAACAGAUGCAUCAACACAUGUCUAGAGUCCUCGUGAAGUCUCGUUUUUCCCCUCUCUGGUGCUGCACUAACUACGUUACUUGUAAGAAUAACAAAAGACCGGCUUCACUGUUUUGCCGUACGGUAUUUCCUACAGAAUCCAGUAGAAAAUUCUCUGUAGAUCACUUCUAGAGGACGUCAGUAGGUUGCGUAACCAUAACGGGAUGUAUUUUUGCAGUCGCCAUCCACAAUGAAUACAGUAGGGCACAACCUCUGCUGAGGUCCGUGCGCCAGUCGUGUACCCCGGUACUAUCACCCUUCCCCAAAUUUACAAAGAAUGCAUGGAUUUGCUUCUUUGUGUAUCUUCUCCUCAAAGGGUAAGUCCUUUUAGCUCGUUUCUGUCGAAGCAAAGAGGAAAGAACUGCGAUACGUCAGCGGUGCUGCAGCAGUCAGACACGUGUAUAUUCCGCUUGGAGCUAAGGAGGAGCCAGAAGUAUAGCCGUCAAGACAAUAGCUAGGGGUUUUGAUACUCUGCCACAGUUUCAAGCGGAGAGAAACUUGAGAAUAUCGAUUCUCCGCACCCCUGCCGGAUGUGUAUGAGUUUGUGGAGAGGUACUGAGUAUCACUGAUGGUCACAUUUUCUCUUCUUCUUAGACUGCCGCAAGUGAAUGAAAUCUCGUCCAGAAACGCUGUACAGCGAGUGAAAGGUGAUCGGGCUGGUAACCGACGCAUCAACGCAUGCCUCCAGUCUUGGCGAAGGCUCCCUGUUUCUUUCUCUUUCGCCCUCUCUUUGCAUUUUCGCCUUCCGCCCCCCACCACUCAAUACUCGUUUCGUUGUUUAUAAUGUUUGUGAACUUCGUGGUCGAACACUCUGUUUUCUUGAAUUUUUACAGAAAUAUGCGAAGGAGGUAAGGGUUACCGUUUUUGGUUGUCCAGGGACACGGGGUUCGUUACAUUGUCUCUUCCACUUCAAGCAAUCUAAGAACGUCUUCAUUCUCUCUGACAAACGCUUUUGUGCGGCAAAAGGUUUGUUUCUGACGCCAGAUUCUAACGUCAUCGCUUUCUGAAGGACCGCUUGUCGCCGACCGAGUGCAAUCUUUUUCAAUCGGGUCAUUUUUUUAUAGCAUGGGUAACUUCACCCGCAUAAUCGAAACAAAACCAUCACACUGCAGUCGCCUUACCUGUUUCGGUUCAGCUUGUAAGCUUCACUAUAACUGCUUGUCGUGGUUGUCGUAUCCAGAGUCAGAGUGGCUAGUGUCUGGGGAAGGAUUUUCCCGUGAUUUGCUGGUUCUGUAACAAAGGUUUGCCGCGAAUCAAUCUGAACGAACCCUUAACUCUGACUGGGUGGUACUUCUUCAAUACGGCCACAUGCCGAGUUCCACGCUUACCGUGUGUUGACUUUCCAUCCACUUCUUUUGUGUGGGCCGCAAACUGAAGAGUAAGUUUGAUUAUUGCUACCUUCAAGCAUACGAACCCCGGUUCGAAUGCUUGACCUCUCCUUGGAAUCUCCAUGGAGCCAGUUCUGGAAAUACAUAUCCGAUUUUAAGCUGCCAUCCCGCCGAGCCAAUUGAUAGUAUGCCGUAUUACUUCGGAACCCCAACAGCUGGCUGGUUCUAAUCGUGCGGUUUUGUCCAUGUUCACUUCUUCACGCAUUCAGUGCCCGUAAGCAGUAUGACCGUUCCAAGAGUCUUUGCUCGUUUCCAAAAUUACCGAGACAUCGGCCAUUAAGGAACUUUCUGUGGCAUGAAUGAAGGACUCUCCGUUGGCAUGCAGGCGGUGUGCUAUUCGUUCGGUAUGUGGGAAUUCGGCUCUCCAGAAGAUAGUAGGUGCUCUCGCCGUCAUAGGCCUGAUAAGAGAGUGGAUGUCGUGGGAGUCGGUGAUCGGCAAACAGCGUCGUUUAGGAUUGACUCGUUCCAUCCUGAUCGGCCACGCAAGACACUGAGCCAUGGGAUGAGAGACAAAGCACACGCUAAGCCUGAGCCCUUCUCCACACCUUUUCAAUAAAAUUAACCAAUAAUCUGCCAUUCGGUUGGUUUGUCCUGACAGCAACGUAGUUUGGACUUGGAGGAAGAACUCGAGAGUUUGCAAGUACGUUUGACACAUAUUAGCGUGGUAAAGUCACCACUGCAAUACCUAACAAAGGAACGAGGCGGAUAAGGGUUCUAGUCAGUUGCAGCCACCUGGCUCAUACUCGCACCCUGCUGUACUUGAAACCUAUUUCCUCCUCGAGGGAAAAGUGUGGCCCGAAGCGUGUGCGCUUCGUUUUUCUCCAGAGCAAACGGUUGAGAGUAAGGAGCCAGCUGUGGCGACAGUAUGGCGUUUUUGUGCCUCCAUUUUGUUUUCGUAAGAGCCAUCAUAAUCAAGCAACCGCGACUACCGGAAACACUGCGAGCUCUUAUCAUCUUUUCACAUGCACCUUGUUUGUCAGAUGUGAAGCACACCUGGAGGGGUGCUGAAUUUUGUACGUAAGACAAAUUGAUGUUAAAUUUUGAAUACUAAUCAGCUCGCUGUAAGUUGCACCGUGGGUCUCCUGACGUCACCGAAAUGUCCAAGCCUUCAACCCGUAGAACGUGUUCUGGGGUCAACAGGCACUCUGGCACUGUGCCUGCGAAUGUUUCUGCCUGCACAUCUUACAUAUUUCCUUCAGAGGUGGUAAUUCGGCAUCCAAUGGGAUUUAACGGGAAGCUGGGCCACUGCAGGGGUUAUUCAGAAAACUUAUUGUGUUGCUGUUUGUAUAAUCCAGAGUAAAGAAGAGUUUGUGAGUCGCGUGGAUACCGUCAACUCUGCCCAUCGUAUUAACACUACACUGUCAUAUUGCGGCACAAAUUCUGCAUUUCCGUCUUUUGUUGAUUGCCGAACUGUGUUUAAAAAGCAACCCGAUGUCAACCUGGGCCAGGGUUUGCACAGAUAAACAUCCGAUCACAUAUUAAGGAGAGAGCAUCCAGUGUAGUCUCCCCCGAUGAACAAGCGACAGCUAUUGGCAGACCACAAGCUGCUGAUCGCGUGCUGGUGGACGUUAAAAAUGAAGGCACCACUCCCUGUGUGAGCAAGUGGCUUUGUGUUGUCUGCCACUUUUAACGACUCUGCAGCAACAAAGAAUUCGACGUGCUAUCAGGGACGUAGCCGACGAUUUUAGCUACCCGAUUAACUCGGACAGCGACGAGGGCUGAAGCGGUCCGACGAUAACCGCAGUCGUUUGGUAGUGCGUCGACUCGUUCGGUGUUGUACAGCGAUUUCAGCUCCGGUGUCUUUCCUGAAAGUUUCCGUUUCUCUAUGGUGUUGGACACACACCAUAUGCUUUCUCGUACGCCACCGCCCUUGUGGGCUGUUCACUCAGUUUGCACAGAUUGCGAGGGCCCCGAUGUUGGUGUUUCGAAACAUGUGUGGGAGCCGUGAAAGCAAUUACUUCGAUUCUUGUGUGAGAGUUGUUUGCAGUGUUCCACGUUCCCUGCUUCCCGGGUUAGCUUAGCCUUGGCUAGUUGCCAACACACUGAGCAAUGUUCCAAAAAGUACGUCUUUUCAAGUACACCCUGGUUCGACAGUUUCAAAUGCGGCGAGACACAUUGAGUUUGAUGGGUCUUUGAGACUGAAUGGAUCUUUGAGUGGGUUGCUUAGUUUAGAGUAUGAAACCAAGUUCGGACGUGCCUUGCUGUUGCCGCUAUGCAAAUAACUUUUCCUCGAAGUCUGAAUAACCUCAGCUCCGCCGUUACUAUUGGAUCACUGUAGAACGAUCACGUUUGUACCUUCCGGAAAUGAUAAGCAGGUAUACGCCUGGUCUUCAAAGAGGUUCAAUUCCGUAAGGACCCGUUAUACUAAGUCCAUAGCAGCGAGUGUAUUUUCAUUCCAUAUAGUUUGAUUCUUGCUCCUCCGACUCAUAGCCAACCUGAGGCGCCAUACAGCGCCUGCUGGAUCGUCGCGAG
rnacentral:lncRNA from 1 species